CUACGGGUUGCUCCAGUGGGGAAUAUUGCACAAUGGGGGGAACCCUGAUGCAGCAACGCCUCGUGGAGGAUGACGCAUUUCGGUGUGUAAACUCCUUUUAUAUGUCAAGAAAAUGACGGUAGCAUAUGAAUAAGCACCGGCUAACUCCGUGCCAGCAGCCGCGGUAAUACGGAGGGUGCAAGCGUUACUCGGAAUCACUGGGCGUAAAGGACGCGUAGGCGGGUUGGAAAGUCAGGUGUGAAAUCCUACAGCUUAACUGUAGAACUGCACUUGAAACUUCUAAUCUAGAGUAUGGGAGGGGGAGAUGGAAUUAGUGGUGUAGGGGUAAAAUCCGUAGAUAUCACUAGGAAUACCUAAAGCGAAGGCGAUCUCCUGGAACAUUACUGACGCUAAGGCGUGAAAGCGUGGGGAGCAAACAGGAUUAGAUACCCGGGUAGUC
rnacentral:rRNA from 1 species